rnacentral:misc_RNA from 1 species
GAUGAAGAACGCAGUGAAAUGCGAUAAGUAAUGUGAAUUGCAGAAUUCAGUGAAUCAUCGAAUCUUUGAACGCACAUUGCGCCCGCCAGUAUUCUGGCGGGCAUGCCUGUUCGAGCGUCAUUUCAACCAUCAAGCCCCCGGCUUGUGUUGGGGACCUGCGGCUGCCGCAGGCCCUGAAAACCAGUGGCGGGCUCGCUAGUCACUCCGAGCGUAGUAAUACAUCUCGCUCAGGGCGUGCUGCGGGUUCCGGCCGUUAAAAGCCUUAUUUACCCAAGGUUGACCUCGGAUCAGGUAGGAAGACCCGCUGAACUUAAGCAUAUCAAUAAGCGGAGGA